rnacentral:rRNA from 1 species
CCUACGGGAGGCAGCAGUCGAGAAUCAUUCACAAUGGGGGAAACCCUGAUGGUGCGACGCCGCGUGGGGGAAUGAAGGUCUUCGGAUUGUAAACCCCUGUCAUGUGGGAGCAAAUUAAAAAGAUAGUACCACAAGAGGAAGAGACGGCUAACUCUGUGCCAGCAGCCGCGGUAAUACAGAGGUCUCAAGCGUUGUUCGGAAUCACUGGGCGUAAAGCGUGCGUAGGCUGUUUGGCAAGUCGUGUGUGAAAGGCGCGGGCUCAACCCGCGGACGGCACAUGAUACUGCGAGACUAGAGUAAGGGAGGGGGAACCGGAAUUCUCGGUGUAGCAGUGAAAUGCGUAGAUAUCGGGAGGAACACUCGUGGCGAAGGCGGGUUCCUGGACAUUAACUGACGCUGAGGCACGAAGGCCAGGGGAGCGAAAGGGAUUAGAUACCCUUGUAGUC